AUCAUUCCAUAUACCAAAUAUAGUAGCCCUACUGCUUAUAGUAUCUGAUAUGUGGACUUGACCAGGAAAACUUAACCUUGUUCACUGAUCCAUGAAAUGAGGUCGAGGUCAAAUGAAAAUUGUCUGACGGGCAUGAGGACCUUGCAAGGUACACACAUACUAAAUAUAGUUGACCUAUUGCAUAUAGUAUUAGAAAAAAAGACCAAAACUCAAAAACUUAACUUUGACCACUGAACCAUGAAAAUGAGGUCAAGGUCAGAUGACACCUACCAGUUGGACAUGUACACCUUACAAUCAUUCCAUAUACCAAA